GUGGCUGCCGCCCUUCCCCCACCCACGCCGGCGGGAGCCGCCCGUUCGCGCUGCCAGCAGCUUCCGCCUGCUACGGUCCUGGCAAGCACCUCGGGAUCCCAUUCCUUCACAGGGACCCUAGCCAGUUAAAGCUGAUACAUUCCUGUGGGUCAACUAUGCAACUAACUCAGAUUUUGAGCAAACAAAGCUCUCAAGUUGGUGAUCCUCAGGAGUCUCUGCAUUAGUUGGACAGCUCUUCUGGAAUUAUCUUCUAAGUCAACUGUGGGUUGGGUAGGUGGCUCUGCUGAUUUUUCGCUGGACUUCCACAUUUGGGACGAGUUGGCUGUCAUCAGCUCUAGAAAGGGUGUGGCCGUUUUACAUUGGCUGUUUUCCUCACAUUCCUCAAGCAGGUACUGUAAUAAAGAACUGGAGAAAUACAGUCAGAUGGGAAGUAGCCCUUGCUGUCAAGGAGCUUGCCAUCUAAUGGGGGAGACAGGCAAGUAAACCAAAGACUACACAGUGCAGUAUGGUAAGUGCCAUGAUUUUGAUGUGACAGGGCACAGUGGACGACCUUCCAAAUCAAAGCAAGUAACUAGGGGUUGACAAUGGUAAGUAUCAUAGUUGAAGUAUCCUUGAACAAGGUUUCAGGAAGAAGAAGAAGGGAAUUUCAUGCAGGGAAACAGCCAAAGCUCAGUGAGUCAAAAUAUCACAGCAUUCUUGGUAAGCCCAAUUGUUUUUUCUGUUUUGCUAUUUUGGUGGAGAGAAAGGAACACAUAAAGGAAUAACAUGAGAGAAGGCUAUUUGGGGAAGUGUAGUAGUUAAGGUUCUGGCUCAAACAACAACUGCAGCUCAUAAAGUUGACUUUAGUGGAAGGAUACUGGGGUAUCUCAUGGAAUCUUGGGAACUGUUGAAUAACCAGGGAAACUCUGGGAAACUCACUGGUAGGAAUCCAUAAACUGUCCUCCUGGUGGGCUGUAAACAACUCACCCUCUAUGCAUCUCACAUCAAAAUUCCAGUUUCUUGGGAAAACAAGUCUGUUUGCCCAAUUUGGGUCAUAUUUCCACGUCCAUGUUACUCAGGCAUGAUUCAUCUGCAAGUUAUGUGUAUAGAUAUUUUGCUACUGUUCCACCCUUACGCUGUGCUGGGGAGGGAGGUGUCACUGUGAGCUGUGUCGGUGCCUUAAGAGAUAUCUGUUGUGUCUUAUUACUUGGUUGCUUUUCCCCACAUGUACAAUGACAAAAAUGCCUUCAACCUAUUUGAUCCAGCCGUUCCAGUACAACUCCUAUACUUGCCAUCUUUCCAAGCCCAAAGGUACAUCCAGCUGAUGGAAGGAGCAUCUUGGUGUUAAUAUUCUUUUAGUCAUGGUCUCUGAAAGUAAAAUGUCUAUUCUUCUAAUUCUGGCACAAUCUUAUCUAGCUAUAGUUCCUCAUGGUCCUGCACUCCAUGGACUAAAUUGUAAGUAUAAUUACUACCAAUGUACUCUAUAAAUAACUUUUGGGGCCAGGGUGGCAAUAGUUGCUAGAGAGAAAAAAAAAAAAAAGGAAGGAGAAGAAAACAGUGAUAGUUCUUAUUUUAAAAGGAAAAAAAGAGGCAGGAGGCUCUCUUGAGGCCAGGAGUUUAAGACCAGCCUAGGCAGCAUUUCAAGACCCUGUCUCUACUAAAAAGUAAAAAAAAAAUUUAGUCAGGCAUGGUGGCAUGCACCUGUAGUCGUAGCUACUCAGGAGACUGAGGUGGGAGGAUUGAUUGAGCUCAGGAGUUUGAGGCUGCAGUGAGCAAUCAUCAUGCCAUUGCACUCCAGCCUGGGCAUCAGAGCAAGACCUUGUCUUUUAGGAAAAAAAGGCAGGGAAGAGGAAUAGGUAAUUUUUCAGUGUUCAGACAUUCCAGCAAUAUGUGUGGAGUACUCAUUCUCACUACAGUUUAUGAGGCCAUAGCUAGUAUGUAUGACUACCCAUCCAAGUUUCCCUGCUUACAGUUACUAUUCCAACUGAUUGGGGGGCUUUUCCUAAUAGAGUGAUUUAAGCCUUCAUUUUUAGACAUCUAAGCCCUUGGUGAUCAUCAGCAUAAAAUGUGACAAAUUAAACAAAAGCAAGACAGCACAUCAGAGAACAACUCUGAGGUGGAAUGAUUGGGAACCAAUGAAUAGUUGUUCAGUAAAUGGUUUAUAUUUUACAGAUGAUGAAACUGAAACACAAAAAAUUUAGAUUAACUCUUAGGUGACAAAGCCAGGAUUGAAGCUCAUGCGGUCUGGCUCCAGAACAACUCUUCUUCAUAGUUACGUUAUACUGCCCCUGCAUUGUUGGUAUUGAAAAUAACUGAUACCGUGCUUCCAGAAGAUUUUUCUAACAGUGUUUGCAAGCUAUAAAAUAGUGCUUUCACUUAGAAAAGGCUAGACGUGGUGGUUCAUGCCUGUAAUCCCAGCACUUUGAGAGGCCGAGGCACCAUGCUGGGAGAUAAGGAUCCAACAUAAGACAAACAGUGCUGAUGCUUUUGGAAAGCUCAUAUUCAAGCUGGGGAGACAAACAACAUACAAGUGGCUGUAGCUACCUUCUGCAUAUGGAUAUCCAGUUUUCCCAGCACCACUUAUUAAAGAGACUGUCUUUUCUGCAGUGUAUAUUCUUGGCACCGUUGUUGAAAAUGAAUUCAUUGUAGGAGGGCUCUGAGAGAUUUCAUUUCUGUCCUGCUGAUGAAGUCUACGUUCAUUCAGGGCCUGCUGUGGAAGACCAGCCCCAAAGUUGCUGAACAGAAGACUUUUGAGAGUCAGCAGAAAUCUUCCACUUUGCAUGGUUCUCUUGAUGUGAAAUCAUCUAUAUAGCCCCAGAAUUGGAAAAGAAAAAAAAUAAAAAAAUGGAAGGAAACUGGAUUCGACAACAGUCUAAUGCUUUCUACUUUUAUUUACUUUUUCUUUAAAAAAAGUAAAUUCUGUUUAUAGUUACAAACAUCUGAUUUCUCAAUGAAUACUAGAGGAAAAAGGGAACAAAGGAAUCCAUAAUCUUCAAUUUACUUAAGAACUUAAUUAACCAAAUGCAAUGGACUCUAUUUGGGUACUGAUUUGAACAAAUAAACUAUAAAGACAUUUUUGAGACAAUUGGGGAAAUGUGAACAAUGAUUGGGUAUUUGAUGAUAUUAAGGAGUCACUGUCAAUUUUUAGGUGUGAUCAUGGUAUUGUGGUUCUGUUCCAAAAAAUAGCCCUUAUCUUUUAGAGCUAUGUUACAGUUUGGCUCCGUAUCCCCAUCCAGGCUUCAUCUUGAAUUGUAAUUCCUGUAUGUCAAAGGAGCAACCUGGUG
rnacentral:lncRNA from 1 species